GGGAGUGUCACUCAGUGAUAGAGUAUGUGCUUACUGUGUGAGAGGCCUAGGUUCAAUCCCCAGCACUACCA
rnacentral:tRNA from 1 species